rnacentral:rRNA from 1 species
AGAGUUUGAUCAUGGCUCAGAAUCAACGCUGGCGGCGUGCCUAACACAUGCAAGUCGCACGAGAAAGGGACUUCGGUCCUGAGUACAGUGGCGCACGGGUGAGUAACACGUGAAUCAUCUACCUUCGAGUGGGGAAUAACUGAGAGAAAUCUUAGCUAAUACCGCAUAAUACCUACGGGUCAAAGCAGCAAUGCGCUUGAAGAGGAGUUCGCGGCAGAUUAGUUAGUUGGCGGGGUAAUGGCCCACCAAGACGAUGAUCUGUAUCCGGCCUGAGAGGGCGCACGGACACACUGGAACUGAAACACGGUCCAGACUCCUACGGGAGGCAGCAGUGGGGAAUUUUGCGCAAUGGGGGAAACCCUGACGCAGCAACGCCGCGUGGAGGAUGAAAUCCCUUGGGAUGUAAACUCCUUUCGAUCGGGAAGAUAAUGACGGUACCGAGAGAAGAAGCCCCGGCUAACUUCGUGCCAGCAGCCGCGGUAAUACGAGGGGGGCAAGCGUUGUUCGGAAUUAUUGGGCGUAAAGGGUGCGUAGGCGGUUUGAUAAGUUUGAUGUGAAAUCUCUGGGCUCAACCCAGAGUCUGCAUCGAAAACUGUCGGGCUUGAGUAUGGGAGAGGUGAGUGGAAUUUCCGGUGUAGCGGUGAAAUGCGUAGAUAUCGGAAGGAACACCUGUGGCGAAAGCGGCUCACUGGACCAUUACUGACGCUGAUGCACGAAAGCUAGGGGAGCAAACAGGAUUAGAUACCCUAGUAGUCC